rnacentral:lncRNA from 1 species
AUAGACUGGCGCUUUAUGACUGACUGAGCUGGCUCUGCAGCAGGUCGGCAGGACUGCGGCUCUCUCAAUUGUGGCAGCAGCAGCGGCCUUUUCGAGCCAGACACUGCGCGCAGCUCCUACAGCGCCUUCUGCAAGGGGCUCACACACACGCUGCUCACCUUCUAAGACCUGCCCUGGCGCCUGCGCGUGAACUUCCCCUACUUCUACAUGGUGGCCUCCGUGAUGCUCAACGUCCGCCUGCAGGUGCGGAUCGAGUGAGCAAACGCUCCCCGCCGCGGCGGAGAGGGUCACCCGUGCCUUCCGCGCCGUCCUGGCGGCCACAGUAAGGACAGCGGGGCCACACGGUGCCUCGAGACUGCGGCGGGGGACGCAGGCGGCACGGCCGGGGCCCCUCCAUUUUAGGUCUCUGCUGAGGGCCUAAGGAACCGCAUCCCACACCGCAAAAACCUUCACAGCCCAGUCCUUUUCCUCUGCAUCCAGAGAAUCGCCAGAGUCUGGCAAACCUGUUGCCUCCCCAUUGGCCGAAAGCGGGAGAGGCCCAAAGAAGGGAUGCUACCACAGGACUUGAUUUACCAGGCCCUGUGCCUGAAGACAUUGGUCUUCUGGGUGAUGGCUCACCCCGUCUCUGAACAUUUCAAAUCGGAUCCUAGAGGUGCCACUGUUGCUGUAGUAGCCCAGGUAGCAGCUGAGUGAAGAGCCUGCCUAGAAGGAGAGGGGCCUUUCUGGUGAGCCCAGAGGAGUGAGGUGGCUCAGGUCUCCUGGUCCCUCCACAGAAAAGCCUUGGACACUGAUAUCUCCCAGUAAGUGUGAGGGAGAUGUGCUCUCCCACCUGUUACAGGAGAAGAGGAGAGAGCCCAGCCUGUCUUGGACCGGCAUUCCUCCAUCCCUGCUACAGUUUCUCCACAACCUGGCAGGACAUUGGGGUUGGGAGGGAGUGGAGAGCUACCAAGGGGCCUAGGGAGAAAGAGAGGCCAUGAGAUAGGGGAGCUGGACGUCUGCAUUCCCUUGGAGUGGUCUGAAAGACGGGUGAACAGUUGAUUUCAUAAAUAGAGGGUAAGGUUCAAGGAUUUCCUAAAAUGUCCAGCCCCCUCCAGAACCAAGCCCCCCACUUCUCUGGUGCUUGACUAAGAGCUCCUGGGCUAUUGUGUGGUAUGGACAGCCGUGAGGAUGGCAUUGUGGUUUAUAGGGUCAUGAUGUCACUGGAAGGUUGAGGAGAUGUGGCUGAGACCCAUGGUAUGGCCCUGUUUCUCUGUUCCCAGCUCGCAGGCCCAUCCCUGGUGUCACAUGGGAAAUCUCAUCCAGAUAAGCAGAGGACAGCCUGUCCAGGAGGCCCUAUCUAGGGUAGAAGUUGUGAUCUCUCAAUGCCCAAGAAUGGCCCAAGGGAUACUUUUGUUACUUAUCCCACACUCCUCCAACUUCUCUGGUACUGUUAUCUCAAGGUCUAUUCAUUCCUUUCCAGCAUGCCAGCCGGCCAGCCCCAGGGACAGAGGGGCCCAACUGCCCACUCAGAGUCAGAUAAAGAUCUCAGUUUGUCUCACCCAAAGGGCACAAACUGAAUGGUGGCUGCCACAUGGCCUCUGCUGCUCACCAUAGGGCAGGACUAAUGGCUUCCUUCUCCCAAGUUUCACUAGUAGUCCAUGUACGUAUGUUUGAAUGCAUGUGUGUGCGCCUAUAUGUAAAUGUGUGUGAUGGGGUGGAGUCGUUGGGUAGGGAAUGUCAUGGUGCACUGUAUUUGCAGGCUGUAUGGCAGGCAAUGGAGCUUCAAAUUCAGAGACUUAGCCUGGAUGACCUUACAUUUCCAUGUGUGUUGGACUCUGCCUGGCCAGCUCCGUCCGGUCAGAGAUAGGGUUUUCGAAAUUGUCACGUUAUCUCCCAAAGGUAAAAGAACAUCUGUACACCAAACACUGCCUGUCUGCCUCCUGUUUCUGGUGGGUGCCAUACCUUAUCCUGGGUGGGGAAAUGGGUGGGACAUGGGACAGCAAGCUCCAAGCCAAGAGGGCAAUCCAGAGAUGAGCAGAGAACCUCCUCUCCUUCAGAACCUCCUUCCAGAUCACCCUUGACAGGACGACCACCCUCUGAUCUCCCCUCUAUACAUACAUACACACACACACACACACACACACACACACACACACACACACACACCCUAAAUGGGCAACAGUGGAGCCAGGCCCAGAAGGCUCCAGUUGGUCGCAUUAACAUGGUUCAGAGAAAGAAACUGAAUCAAAGUCGUCUCUCUCAUUCUAGGGACUGGAGUCAAGGUGUUGAAUGCAAGUUGAACCUCAAGAGUAAGGGGAAAUGGAACCAGUGUCUGCAGGCCACUGUGUGCAGCCAAGUCCUCUCUGCAGUAGAUGAAGAGGAGGCCAAAGGCCCACAAAAGGGUCUUAGGAAGACUCCAAGACGUCUCUCUAGAAGGACAGAUCCGAGGUGACCAAACAAAAUGGAGCCUGCGGACCUGAAGUUUCAUUCAAAGGAUCCACAUGGGGCUCAGAACACUGUGAAACUUCAGUCCCAGAGCAACCAGUAAUGUCUUCUACACUAUCCUGUGACCAUGUCCAAAGCUUGAUGCCAAGUACCCACGUGGGAUGCACAAUGGUCUGCAACUCCAGUUCCAGAGCACCCAUGGCAACCUUCUGCCCUAUUCUGGGACCAGACAUGCAGCUGCUGCUUCAAACACUCGCACAGGCCAAACAGCUGUUCACAAAACUAUGCAAUGAUGCUUAA